ACAGUGCGGGUAGGGAGGUGAGAGAAGACAGCACAUCUGGCAGGAAAGAUGGCUAGAAAGACAGAGGUGCAUAAAGGGAAGUAGUCCAGGAUGCCAGCCAUUUGUGGCUCGGGCAAUGUCCUAAUUCUAGCCACCCCCCACAAUAAGAAGAGCUGGAAGAGGAGUGAGCCCAAGAGGCCAACAGGUUUGGUUCUAACCAGGUGCCUCUGGGCCACAGAAGAGACGUCCAGUAGAUAUGUAAAAGUCUAGAACUCAGGGAAAAGAUCUAGGGCCUAACAUCUGUCAGAGUUGAGAAUCGCCAAGAGUGGAGAGCAGAGGGAGGCGGGCCUGACACCCUGCAGACCUCAAGCGGGCAGCCAGACACAGAGGAGGAGAUCCCAGGAAGUGGCUGUGGGUGGCGUGAACUCAGCACUCCCCAGCGGUGGAGACAACGAAAUCGGGAAAACACUCACUUCCCAGAGUGUUUGUUUUAACUUUACUCAUUUUCCAAUAACAAUGAAAGUAGAAAUAACGCAGAUGUUCGAAGCAAGUUCAAA